CCUUUUGUUGAAUCUUUUAUUAAAGUUCCCCCCCCCCCCCCCUUUUUUUUUUUUUUUUUUUUUUUUCCCUUCUCCUGUUAAGUUUCUUAAUCCUAAUGGUGUUUUUCUGUCUUGGUCAGAUGUUUAUCCACUGUAGUACAUCAGUGUGCCAUUCUCUUUCUGGCUCCUGUGAGCGGAGUUGCUCACGGAAAAGAAGGCAUGUUGAUGUCAAGGCAGUCUCAAGUGAGCACACCAUAGUUUCUAGUGGAGAAGUUACCCUGGUCAUAUAAAUGUUAUGAUGGCUGUUUCAAUGAACUCCAUGAAACCUUGAAUAUGUCUGGAGUUUGUGGUUGUUUGGGCUAGCUUGUUCAGUGGAGUUUGUUAAAUUUGUACAUAAGUGUUCAAAGUUGUUCUCUUCCCAAGUAACCGUAAUCUACACUGCUUUGACUUCAGCUUUCCUGGAAAACUGGAAGUUUUGUACUUCUCUUUUGCCUGUCCAUAUUGAGUUUUUGGCCAUGAUGACACAAAGGUCCAGUUACUAUGCGUUUAGGUGUUAACUUCCCUCCCUCAGCUUUGUAUACCUAUGAACACUAGGGUCACCUGCUGACACGGCAUCACCAUAACGAGCCCCCUCAUACCUUUGCUUGUGUAUUGAGUAGCAGUGUUGGGAUAACACAUUACAAGUAAUGUGAGUUAUGUAAUCAGAUUACUUUUUCCAAGUAACUAGUAAAGUCAUUUUAAUUUACAAGAAAAUAUUGGCGUUACUCUUUUGCAAAGUUAUGCCGAGUUCACACUGCACGAUUUUAGCCCGAUUUCACUCGCCCACAGGUUGUGAAAUCGCCAACAAAUGCCCAAAAUCGGAGGCAAAUCAGUGCUUGUUCACGUGAGUGACAAUCACGCAGUGAAUUAUCAAAGACUCUAUCUGAGGGAAUCGCCAAUGCCGUGAAAUAUUUGGCAUGCUAAAUAUCUGGAGCUGUUGGCGAUUCACAAUCACGCUGUGAAAUGAGUUCUGACUGAAAAACACAUCGGCGAUGACCUACAGCGUUAAAUUAAACAGUUUGCAAACCAUUGUUGCCAAAUCCGCGAUUGCGGCUGGUUGUUUGUAAGCAGGUUGAAGUGACCCCAAUAACGUGAUAUUUAG
rnacentral:lncRNA from 1 species